rnacentral:rRNA from 1 species
AUUGAACGCUGGCGGCAUGCCUUACACAUGCAAGUCGAACGGUAACAGGUCUUCGGAUGCUGACGAGUGGCGAACGGGUGAGUAAUACAUCGGAACGUGCCCGAUCGUGGGGGAUAACGGAGCGAAAGCUUUGCUAAUACCGCAUACGAUCUACGGAUGAAAGCAGGGGACCGCAAGGCCUUGCGCGGACGGAGCGGCCGAUGGCAGAUUAGGUAGUUGGUGGGAUAAAAGCUUACCAAGCCGACGAUCUGUAGCUGGUCUGAGAGGACGACCAGCCAAACUGGGACUGAGACACGGCCCAGACUCCUACGGGAGGCAGCAGUGGGGAAUUUUGGACAAUGGGCGAAAGCCUGAUCCAGCCAUGCCGCGUGCAGGAUGAAGGCCUUCGGGUUGUAAACUGCUUUUGUACGGAACGAAAAGCCUCUUUCUAAUAAAGAGAGGUCAUGACGGUACCGUAAGAAUAAGCACCGGCUAACUACGUGCCAGCCGCCGCAGUAACAC